GACUUCGUGGCCCAGUGGUUAAGGCGUGCGACUGUUAAUCGCAAGAUCGGGAGUUCAAUCCUCCCCGAGGUCG
rnacentral:tRNA from 1 species